GUGCCAGCCGCCGCGGUAAGACGUAGGGGGCGAGCGUUGUCCGGAAUGACUGGGCGUAAAGGGCGUGUAGGCGGUCGGGUACGUGACGCGGGAAAGGCGCCGGCUCACCCGGCGACGGGCGCGUCAAACGGCCGGGCUGGAGGGCAGGAGAGGUGCGUGGAAUUCCCGGUGGAGCGGUGAAAUGCGUAGAGAUCGGGAAGAACACCGGUGGCGCAGGCGGCGCACUGGCCUGGCCCUGACGCUGAGGCGCGACAGCGUGGGGAGCGAACGGGAUUAGAUACCCCGGUAGUCCACGCCGUAAACGAUGGGUACUAGGUGUCGGCGGGAUCGCCCGGCGGUGCCGGAGCUUACGCACUAAGUACCCCGCCUGGGGAGUACGGCCGCAAGGUUGAAACUCAAAGGAAUUGACGGGGGCCCGCACAAGCAGUGGAGCAUGUGGUUUAAUUCGACGCAACGCGCAGAACCUUACCCGGCCUGAGCGACGCGCGCAGGUCCCGGAAACGGGGCGGCCCCGGCAACGGGGGACGCGCGUCCGGGUGCUGCAUGGUUGUCGUCAGCUCGUGUCGUGAGAUGUUGGGUUCAGUCCCGCAACGAGCGCAACCCCCGUGCGGUGUUGCCAGCGGCGCGGAAGCGGCCGGGCACUCACCGCAGACGGCCGGUGACAAACCGGAGGAAGGUGGGGAUGACGUCAAAUCCGCAUGGCCUGGAUGGCCGGGGCUACACACGUGCUACAAUGGCGCCGGCAAUGGGAAGCGACCGCGCGAGCGGGAGCGGAGCCCCAAACGGCGUCGGAGUUCGGAUCGCAGGCUGCAACUCGCCUGCGUGAAGCCGGAAUUGCUAGUAAUCGCCCAUCAGCAUGGGGCGGUGAAUCCGUUCCCGGGCCUUGUACACACCGCCCGUCACACCACGAGAGGGGCUCACACCCGAAGCCGCCGGCCGCG
rnacentral:rRNA from 1 species